GGUUAAGCGACUAAGCGUACACGGUGGAUGCCCUGGCAGUCAGAGGCGAUGAAGGACGUGCUAAUCUGCGAUAAGCGUCGGUGAGGUGAUAUGAACCGUUAUAACCGGCGAUUUCCGAAUGGGGAAACCCAGUGUGUUUCGACACACUAUCAUUAACUGAAUCCAUAGGUUAAUGAGGCGAACCGGGGGAACUGAAACAUCUAAGUACCCCGAGGAAAAGAAAUCAACCGAGAUUCCCCCAGUAGCGGCGAGCGAACGGGGAGGAGCCCAGAGCCUGAAUCAGUGUGUGUGUUAGUGGAAGCGUCUGGAAAGGCGCGCGAUACAGGGUGACAGCCCCGUACACAAAAAUGCACAUGCUGUGAGCUCGAUGAGUAGGGCGGGACACGUGGUAUCCUGUCUGAAUAUGGGGGGACCAUCCUCCAAGGCUAAAUACUCCUGACUGACCGAUAGUGAACCAGUACCGUGAGGGAAAGGCGAAAAGAACCCCGGCGAGGGGAGUGAAAAAGAACCUGAAACCGUGUACGUACAAGCAGUGGGAGCCUCUUAAUGGGGUGACUGCGUACCUUUUGUAUAAUGGGUCAGCGACUUAUAUUCUGUAGCAAGGUUAACCGAAUAGGGGAGCCGAAGGGAAACCGAGUCUUAACUGGGCGUUAAGUUGCAGGGUAUAGACCCGAAACCCGGUGAUCUAGCCAUGGGCAGGUUGAAGGUUGGGUAACACUAACUGGAGGACCGAACCGACUAAUGUUGAAAAAUUAGCGGAUGACUUGUGGCUGGGGGUGAAAGGCCAAUCAAACCGGGAGAUAGCUGGUUCUCCCCGAAAGCUAUUUAGGUAGCGCCUCGUGAAUUCAUCUCCGGGGGUAGAGCACUGUUUCGGCAAGGGGGUCAUCCCGACUUACCAACCCGAUGCAAACUGCGAAUACCGGAGAAUGUUAUCACGGGAGACACACGGCGGGUGCUAACGUCCGUCGUGAAGAGGGAAACAACCCAGACCGCCAGCUAAGGUCCCAAAGUCAUGGUUAAGUGGGAAACGAUGUGGGAAGGCCCAGACAGCCAGGAUGUUGGCUUAGAAGCAGCCAUCAUUUAAAGAAAGCGUAAUAGCUCACUGGUCGAGUCGGCCUGCGCGGAAGAUGUAACGGGGCUAAACCAUGCACCGAAGCUGCGGCAGCGACACUAUGUGUUGUUGGGUAGGGGAGCGUUCUGUAAGCCUGUGAAGGUGGCCUGUGAGGGUUGCUGGAGGUAUCAGAAGUGCGAAUGCUGACAUAAGUAACGAUAAAGCGGGUGAAAAGCCCGCUCGCCGGAAGACCAAGGGUUCCUGUCCAACGUUAAUCGGGGCAGGGUGAGUCGACCCCUAAGGCGAGGCCGAAAGGCGUAGUCGAUGGGAAACAGGUUAAUAUUCCU
rnacentral:rRNA from 1 species